rnacentral:lncRNA from 7 species
GCUAGACUCAACUUUGCUCCCCUAUCUUCCUUUUCAGAAGGGAAGAUCCCAGACUGGCUCUUCAGGAUCUGGUUCCUGGGCUGUCCCUUCAUCUUCUUCACCUCACAGUACAGAAGUCUGAGGACUGGACCUGAUCAGCAAGAGCAGGAGUCCUAUGGAAUGGCUCCCAUCAGUGUGCAGGGAGGAUGCUCUGGACCAGCAACAGCCAACAGAACCCCUGAGUGUUCAUCCUCCAGAAGUCAACGCAGCUCCUGCCUCCUUCAACACUACAGCGAGUCCACGCCAUCUCAACCUCGGAGACCCAGGGCCAUUUAGGAUGCCCCAGCAGUCUGCUCCAGCCCGAAACCUGUCGCCCUGCAUUUAAACAACCCCCCGACUCCCCCACUCCAAGUCC